rnacentral:rRNA from 1 species
GGGUGCGAUCAUACCAGCGUUAAUGCACCGGAUCCCAUCAGAACUCCGCAGUUAAGCGCGCUUGGGCUAGAGUAGUACUGGGAUGGGUGACCUCUCGGGAAGUCCCAGUGUUGCACCCUC